UAACCUGAGUACGAACUACCGAACCAGAUGUUGAUGUCAGGAGCACUGACGGUCCUCCUUUUUUAGAAUUACGUUACCUCACACGCAAAUGCCACACCUGGAUUUCAGCAUAAAAAUGAGCUGUCGCUGGUGGCCUGAUAUAAAUAGUCAGUGCCCUUCUUGUUGAUCAGUUCAGCAGUGCUCUGGUGCUUUCACACGACUUGAGGAUUUUGUUUUCUAUUUGUAUCGCCUUGAACAAGCAAAAACGAAGACAACAAUGUUGCCCAAUUCCAACGCAAUGAACGCAAUGUCAACUAUCGCCAUCGGUUUGUUUCUGAUUGCAACGAAUCUCCAACUGAGCUUCAGUGAGCACCAUUCACAGGGUCGUGAUCUGAUUGAAAUUCACAGAAGAUACAAACGCGAAACUAGUAAGUGCACAGCGCCAUGGUAAAAUAUUUACUGAUCUGGACUUGGGAGGAUGUACAAGUUCAGUUUGAAGGAAUGUCAUGAAAAACAAUAAUCUCAUGACCUGUUAAUGAUCAGCCAUGAUCAUAUUGAAUGGGGGUGCAGGCUCGAAGGGUCGAAUGGCCUACUCCUGCACCUAUUUUCUAUGUUUUCUCUCCGCCUUCAGUUCUUCAUUGGUGGAUUGCUGUUCCAGAGCCCUCUCUCCCAUGUGGAAGUGUCUUGUAGGAACUGGGGUCUCCCAUAACCAAGCAGGUUGUUCUCUGUUGAGGGGCAAUGGCUUUUCACUAAUGUUGAUGAAGCAGUCCUUAACCCACCACCCUUACAUUACCUCACCUAAGAAGUAUUUUCCCAAUCACCGAGUCACACAGCACGGAAAUAAGCCCAAGUUGUCCAUGAUGCCCCAUCAAAGCUAGUCCCAUUUACCUGCGUUUGGCCCAUAUCCCUGUAAACCUUUCCUUCUUAUCUUGGUGAUUCCUAAAACAAUUCACAUAUUUACAAUGGGCCCAAUGACUUUUG